CAAAUGGCAAGCUAUGCACGUAAGUUUCGGCAAUUCUGACGAUAAAUUUCCAUUGUACCUAGUAGAUUUUGCCCAAGAUAAACCAGAUUUCACCAUUUGAAGAAAAGCAAAGCUCAACAGAAAAAAAAAUUGACAUAAUACUAACGCAAAAUAUUAUAUCACAAUUAAUGUUUUUGAGAAAAUAUGAAACCAUAUACGCCUAAUUUUCUGGGCACUUAACGAAUCAGUAAAAUUCCAUUUCAAGGGAAACCAUGUGGAAGCAAGAACCAUCAUAUAAAUUACAGCAUUUUAAUAAUAAAUUAAGCAGAAAAUCAAUACCCGUGAAUUUACAUCAUCAAAUCUAAUCCCCAACAUAAAUCUUCGGAAAAAAUAGAAGAAAAUCAAGAAAUGCAAUACUUAUGAUUAAAGAACAAGAAAUAUAAAGAGCUAGUUUGAAAUCCAAAAGAAAGCUAUUACCUUUGCAAAUGAUAUGAACUUAACAACUCGAUCUUCUUCCCUGAAGAUCAAAAAAAGAAAAAAAGAAAGGGCCUUCUGUGUAAACAGAUCCUAAAUGAGCCUAGAUAUGUUGCCAGUGCGGAGAGGAAAUACAAGAAUACCACAAAAGCCAGAAAACAAAAAAAUAAAGUAAAAAAAAAUAAAAAAAGAAUAGCCAACAAAAAGUUCAGCAGCUCAAGAGGAGUAAUUUACAAGUAGAGGGUGUGGCCUGCAGUGGGCCAAAAGAACUCAAGAAAAUAAUAAUUAAAGAAUUUACUAAAAUCUAAUCUUCACAAGAACACCCAUUUUUCAUUUUCAUUUUUAGAGACUUGAUUUUCUUUUUCCUUCAUAAAAGCUCUGGUGGGUGAAUUGUUUUUGUGGGGUUCUAUGAAUGUGAAAGAGGGUCCUCAAAAAGCUGGAAAGAAGACUUUGCUUGCAAUUUAAAGAGAGAGAGCAGUAAAGUAAGGCAAAAAUGAUACUACGACAAAUACACCAUCUAUAGCUGCCUGUGAAAAUAUAUAGCCAAAUCUAUGAUUGUUUGACAAUUUU
rnacentral:lncRNA from 1 species